UAUUAUGAUAGAGGUGCAGGUUUCAAGAGUACCCUUUUGUAAGGCAGGGCAGCCGCAGAGGGGAAAGGGGAAACUGCCGAAGUGGAAAAAUCUGCCCGAGAUUUUUCUGCUGGGACAUGAUAUAAGAUGUCAUGUACUGUCACGAUAAGUGGAGCGCUAUCAUCAUU
rnacentral:ncRNA from 2 species